UGGCUUAAUUUGACUCAACGCGGGAAAUCUUACCGGGUCCGGACACACUGAGGAUUGACAGGCAAUAUUAAUACGUGUUCGCACGUAUUAUGUUAAAUAUGCUAGUCCUUUCAUGAUUAUGUGAUAGGUGGUGCAUGGCCGUUCUUAGUUCGUGGAGUGAUCUGUCUGCUUAAUUGCGUUUCACUAAGGGCCUAUAAAUUUACGUGUGUUGCGGCACUUUGACCCCUUUCUUCGGAAAGCGCGUGUCUUAGUUUGCUUUGCUCACACAAUUAGGUCCUGAAAGCAACGAACGUGACCGCAACCUCUUGUUGCCUUUAUACCAAACAUGUUUGACAUUUUUAUGGCAUUCAUGAAAAAAGGCUUUUUAAACUAGAGGGACCGCUGUUACUUUCUUAAACCAGAGGAAGGUUGCGGCAAUAACAGGUCUGUGAUGCCCUUAGAUGUUCCGGGCUGCACACGUGCUACAAUGAUUAUUGCAGUGAGCAUCUCAUUUUUACACACCGCAUGCGCGAGUCCAUUUAUUCACUUCGGUGCUUUAAAUGUGUAUUUCUGCGCGCGGUAAAGCCUGCUUCGAAAGUAAGUGGGUAAUCAAUUAGAAGUAAUGAUUUCCUUUUUAGCACACAUAUAUACGGCGUCUAUACCCGGGUUACCUUGUUGUAACUUUUGUGUGUAUAGAUGUUUUUUCCGUAUGUGCGAUUGUCAAUUCAUGGUGGGGACAGACCAUUGUUAAUUGUUGGUCUCGGUCUUAACUAGGAAUGCCUUGUACGGGUCUUUGGUUCAACAAACCACCCGGAAUACGUCCCUGCCCUUUGUACACACCGCCCGUCGCUCUUACCGAUGGACUUCUCUGUGAGUUUGAGGGACUGGGAACGCAGAAUUUAUUCUGCACACCUAUGGAAACUUAAACGAACAGUGUGGUCUAAAGGAAAGAGAAGUCGUAACAAGGCAUCGGUAGGUGAACCUGCAGAAAGGAUCA
rnacentral:rRNA from 1 species